rnacentral:rRNA from 1 species
ACGGAGGGUGCAAGCGUUGUCCGGAUUUAUUGGGUUUAAAGGGUGCGUAGGUGGCUAUUUAAGUCAGUGGUGAAAGUCUGCAGCUCAACUGUAGAAUUGCCAUUGAUACUGAAUAGCUUGAGUAUUGAUGAGGUAGGCGGAAUUGAUAGUGUAGCGGUGAAAUGCAUAGAUAUUAUCAAGAACACCAAUUGCGAAGGCAGCUUACUAAGGAAUAACUGACACUGAGGCACGAAAGCGUGGGGAUCAAACAGG